rnacentral:rRNA from 1 species
CCUACGGGAGGCAGCAGUGGGGAAUAUUGGUCAAUGGGCGAGAGCCUGAACCAGCCAAGUCGCGUGAGGGAGUACUGCCCUAUGGGUUGUAAACCUCUUUUGUCGGGGAGCAAAAGCCGGACGUGUCCGGCUGUGAGAGUACCCGAAGAAAAAGCAUCGGCUAACUCCGUGCCAGCAGCCGCGGUAAUGCGGAGGAUGCGAGCGUUAUCCGGAUUUAUUGGGUUUAAAGGGUGCGCAGGCGGAUUUUUAAGUCAGCGGUAAAAUCGUGGGGCUCAACCCCAUCCAGCCGUUGAAACUGGGGAUCUAGAGUGUGCGAGAGGUAUGCGGAAUGCGUGGUGUAGCGGUGAAAUGCAUAGAUAUCACGCAGAACCCCGAUUGCGAAGGCAGCAUACCGGUGCACAACUGACGCUCAGGCACGAAAGCGUGGGUAUCGAACAGGAUUAGAUACCCUAGUAGUC